rnacentral:tRNA from 1 species
GCACCCUUAGCUCAGCUGGAUAGAGCAUCAGCCUUCUAAGCUGGUUGUCGCAGGUUCGACUCCUGCAGGGUGCGCCA